ACCUGGUUGGUUCAGUUGGUACAGCAUGUGACUCUUGAUCUCAGGGUUGUGAGUUUUGAGUCCCACAUUGGGUU
rnacentral:tRNA from 1 species